rnacentral:rRNA from 1 species
AGAGUUUGAUCAUGGCUCAGAAUGAACGUUGGCGGCGUGGAUUAGGCAUGCAAGUCGAACGAAUCCCGGUAGCAAUAUCGGGGGAAGUGGCGAAAGGGGCAGUAAGGCGUGGGUAACCUACCCCGGGGACGGGUCUAGCUUCUCUAACGAGAAGGUAAUCCCCGGCGAUGUAACGAGAACUCCUGUUCUUGUUAUGAAAUGAAUUUCGCCUCGGGAGGGGCUCACGUGGUAUCAGCUUGUUGGUGAGGUAAUGGCUCACCAAGGCUUCAACGCCUAGCCGGUGUGAGAGCACGACCGGCGCCACUGGCACUGAGACACUGGCCAGACUCCUACGGGAGGCUGCAGUCGAGGAUCUUCGGCAAUGGGCGCAAGCCUGACCGAGCGACGCCGCGUGUGCGAUGAAGGCCUUCGGGUUGUAAAGCACUGUCGAGGGGGAGGAAAACCCGCAAGGGUCUGACCUAUCCCUGGAGGAAGCACGGGCUAAGUUCGUGCCAGCAGCCGCGGUAAGACGAACCGUGCGAACGUUGUUCGGAUUCACUGGGCUUAAAGGGCGCGUAGGCGGCGGCUCAAGUCGGGGGUGAAAUCGUUCCGCUUAACGGGACAAUAGCCUCCGAUACUGAGCUGCUCGAGGGAGGUAGGGGUGCGCGGAACUUCCGGUGGAGCGGUGAAAUGCGUAGAUAUCGGAAGGAACGCCGGUGGCGAAAGCGGCGCACUGGAUCUCCACUGACGCUGAGGCGCGAAAGCUAGGGGAGCAAACGGGAUUAGAUACCCCGGUAGUCCUAGCCCUAAACGAUGGGUACUAGGUAGUGGGCUUGCAUGGGCUCACUGCCGAAGCCAAAGUCUUAAGUACCCCGCCUGGGGAGUAUGGUCGCAAGGCUGAACUCAAUGAAUUGACGG